rnacentral:lncRNA from 1 species
AUGGAACCACAGCAGGUCACCACUGGGCCCCCAGGGGGCUCUCUGGGGCAGACCUCCGCUCCAGGCCACUCGGACACCUUGUCGCCCAAGCCUGCAGGGCUCGCUGCAGCUCCCGGCCUUUGUCCAGCUGGGUUCCCUGGGUCGCAAGGGCCUGCACAGAGACCCGGCCGCACUCUUCCCACGGGAGGCCUUUCCAUCCUCACUGUCUCCGCCAGGCCCCCAGCCCUGCGUGUGUUUUCUCUCUGUAAUGCUCCCUGGUGCUCUAUGGUGUGUGUACCACAUGCUCAACACUGCUGGGGGCUGGGCUCUUCCUGUUGCCCCCGUUCUGCCCGCAGCUGGACAAGGCAGCCGCCCUCUCACUCAUCACAGGUGGAAACCCAAGUCGGAGCCUGCAGGUUCCUGACCACCCAGCAGUGGGGGCUGGGCUCACCUUCGAUCCUGACUCUUGCCCCAGCACUUUCUGCUCAGGGCUGCCCACUUGGGCCUUCUGAUAAAGGAAGAGAAUGAAGGAGGCCGAGGGAGCAGACCCAGCUCUGAGGAAGCAGACACCCAGUGAAUCCUAAAAGGAAUCAACCCUGAUUAUUCAUUGGAAGGACUGACUGAUGCUGUAGAUGAAGCUUUGAUACUUUGGCCACCUGGUACAAAGAGCCGACUCACUGGAAAAGUCCCUGAUGCUGGGAAAGAUUGAAGGCAGGAGGAGAAGGGGAUGACAGAGGACAAGAUGGUUGGAUGUCAUCACUGACUCAAUGGAAAUGAGUUUGAGCAGGCUCUGGGAGCUGGUGAUAAACAGGAAGGCCUGGCGUGCUGCAUUCCAUGGGGUUGCAAAGAGUCUGACAUGACUGCGCGACUGAACAACAAUCAGGCC